rnacentral:lncRNA from 8 species
AGCUCCCCAAAUUGUUCUUUGGUUAAAAGUGGCAGAGAUGAAAAUGAUCUGUGACUCCAUCAGAACAUCUGGCUACAGUUUGACUGGAGUGAAGUUGAGAGUGUGGCGUGUGGCUGACGAGGAUAAUCAACACGCAUUCAUCUACCCUACAGACAAGUGUAGGUUAACGUUACACAUAAAAGGGCCUCUCAGAUGCGGCGUAGAGCGUGGAGGUCUACAGUUAGCACACUGCAGCAUUGAAUUGUCCCUAUACGGCGAUGAUGUAGUUGACUGGAGAUGCAUCUUUCAGUUACUUCAAACUCUGAAGCAUAAGUAAAGACUACUGUCUUCAAUUUAAAUCUCAACACGACAUGCACACGCGCAGCAUGCACACACACACACACACACACACACACACAGUUAUAGAGAAGCACACUGGACAGCUGACAAUGAGCCUUUUAAAGGUCAUUUACACUUGAGCCAACAUCUGCAGUGUUUAUUAUGAAUGCAGUCUCUGCCAAUGGUAGCGAAAUUGCUUUGAAAACGAUGCUGUUUAGUGCUCUGCUCUAUAACAUGCCUCGGAUUGAAUCCCGGCCCAUACUAUUACAUAGCUGCACACCAACAAAAAUAUGUCAAAGAUUUAAUUGGUGUCUGUGUCUAUGUUUGUGUCAUAUGAAUGACCUCUACCAGUCCAGAGUGGGAUGAGCAUGUUGAAGGACUGAUCUCGCUGCUACACUCUCAAACCUCUCUGGAGGGAAUAUAUCUGUAUGUGAGCAGCUUCACAGAAAGGUGUGCUGCCAGUGUAAUCAGUCUCAGCCAGGCCUGUUCCAACCUGAAGGACAUAAUCCUUCAAGUAAACGGUUUCUUAUUGGAGGAAGGAAUACAAUGCUUACGUGAAUCAAAGAGGCACUCAGAUUGCCAGUUACUUCUCUUGGGGAGGAGAUGCAGGAAGCUUGCUGACCAGUGCUCUGAGGAGAAGGACAAGAGGCUCAGUUGUAAUGACAACGUUUUACUCAAUCUACAUGGAGAAUCAUUCAUAGAGAUUGUGUUAAGGCAUGGGAAGGAAAGCGAUAUUGAUGACACAUGGAAUGGGAACAAAAUCAAUAUUGAUGACAUGCGGAAUGAGAACGAAAUCAAAAUUUAUAACAUGUGGAAUGCGAACGAAGACGAUGGCACUUGGAAUGGGAACGAAAACGAUAGGCCUAGAGAUGAUAUAAAGUGUAAAGGCUGUUGUGUUGUUGGAUAGUGACCAUGAUGAAGACGACAGAGAUGGUAUAAGAAAUAUAACAAGAGGACAAAGACAACAGAGAUGGUGAGAAACAUAGCAUACAAGAGACUGAGGACAAAGACAAGAGUGAAGAUACAUACCUUUGAUCCUGAUACCACUUAGAUUUGGACUGAUACUAACUAUACAUACUGGAAAUGUUUUUGGGGAGGUAAUUUCAAAAUUUAACUUUAGACUUUAGAAAGACUACAAGAUUAAGCCAAAUGAACUGAACGUAUCUUACCUGCAUUGGAGUCUUUAUGGGAAUGGUUCACACCAUUAACAAUGUAAUAUGCUGUAUUGUUAAAUAUUAUAUGUACAUUUCUGUGUAUCUCUGUAUAUAUGCACCACUAUACAGUGGGGGGGAAAAGUAUUUGAUCCCCUGCUGAUUUUGUACGUUUGCCCACUGAUAAAGAAAGGAUCAGUCUAUAAUUUUAAUGGUAGGUUUAUUUGAACAGUGAGAGACAGAAUAACAACAAAAAAAUCCAGAAAAACACAUGUCAAAAAUUUUAUAAAUUGAUUUGCAUUUUAAUGAGGGAAAUAAGUAUUUGACCCCCUCUCAAUCAGAAAGAUAUCUGGCUCCCAGGUGUCUUUUAUACAGGUAACGAGCUGAGAUUAGGAGCACACUCUUAAACGGAGUGCUCCUAACCGCAGCUUGUUACCUGUAAAAAAGACACCUGUCCACAGAAGCAAUCAGUCAAUCAGAUUCCAAACUCUCCACCAUGGCCAAGACCAAAAAGCUCUCCAAGGAUGUCAGGGACAAGAUUGUAGACCUACACAAGGCUGGAAUGGGCUACAAGACCAUCGCCAAGCAGCUUGGUGAGAAGGUGACAACAGUUGGUGCGAUUAUUCGCAAAUGGAAGAAACACAAAAUAACUGUCAAUAUCCCUCGGCCUGGGGCUCCAUGCAAGAUCUCACCUCGUGGGGUUGCAAUGAUCAUGAGAACGGUGAGGAAUCAGCCCAGAACUACUCGGGAGGAUCUUGUCAAUGAUCUCAAGGCAGCUGGAACCAUAGUCACCAAGAACACAAUUGGUAACACACUACGCCGUGAAGGACUGAAAUCCUGCAGCGCCCGCAAGGUCCCCCUGCUCAAGAAUACAUAUACAUGCCCGUCUGAAGUUUGCCAAUGAACAUCUGAAUAAUUCAGAGGACAACUGGUGAAAGUGUUGUGGUCAGAUGAGACCAAAAUGGAGCUCUUUGGCAUCAACUCGCCGUGUUUGGAGGAGGAGGAAUGCUGCCUAUGACCCCAAGAACACCAUCUCCACCGUCAAACAUGGAGGUGGAAACAUUAUGCUUUGGGGGUGUUUUUCUACUAAGGGGACAGGACAACUUCACCGCAUCAAAGGGAUGAUGGACUGGGCCAUGUACCGUCAAAUCUUGGGUGAGAACAUCCUUCCCUCAGCCAGGGCAUUGAAAAUGGGUCGUGGAUGGGUAUUCCAGCAUGACAAUGACCCAAAACACACGGCCAAGGCAACAAAGGAGUGGCUCAAGAAGAAGCACAUUAAGGUCCUGGAGUGGCCUAGCCAGUCUCCAGACCUUAAUCCCAUAGAAAAUCUGUGGAGGGAGCUGAAGGUUCGAGUUGCCAAACGUCAGCCUCGAAACCUUAAUGACUUGGAGAAGAUCUGCAAAGAGGAGUGGGACAAAAUCCCUCCUGAGAUGUGUGCAAACCUGGUGGCCAACUACAAGAAACAUCUGACCUCUGUGAUUGCCAACAAGGGUUUUGCCACCAAGUACUAAGUCAUGUUUUGCAGAGGGGUCAAAUACUUAUUUCCCUCAUUAAAAUCCAAAUCAUUUUAUAACAUUUUCACACACGUUUCUCUGGAUUGUUUUGUUGUUAUUCUGUUUCUCACUGUUCAAAUAAACCUACUAUUAAAAUUAUAGACUGAUCAUUUCUUUGUAAGUGGGCAAACGUACAAAAUCAGCAGGGGAUCAAAUACUUUUUUCCCCCACUGUACAUGCCAAUUUGAACUUUGCCACUGCAUUACUUCCUUCAUUGUAAUAUAUUUUACCCCCAUUAAUUUAUUACCACCAUAGUUAUGUUUAUUCUUGAUAUUAUUAUUCUUUAAUUAAAUACUUUAUUACAUGUAAUUGUUCAUACUAUAGAUGUUGUAUAUACUGUUUGUGUAAAUUCUUAUUUCUACAUUCUGUCUGUUUAUUGAAAGGCAUUGGCAGCACCAUUUCACCAGGUCAAAUCCCUGGUACAUGUACUGUAAAUGUACUUGGUGAAUAAAGGUGAAUGUGAUUCUGAUUCUGUGAGUUUAAGUGCAGGAGACAAGCAGCAUUUCUCUGAACCUCUCAUAUUCCCUGGGUUUCCGCUCAUAGAGCAUGGAGCUUGCAGUGCUAGGACAGUGGGUUUGAUUCCCAUGACCACCCGGAAAUGAAAUGUAUGCGUGACUGGAAAUUGCUUUGGAUAAAAGUGUCUGCUAAAUGGCACGUAGUGUUAUUAUUAAAUGUAGGCCACAGGAGAUGAGUCAAUUCUCUCUUCUCCUCCUUUGGGCUCCCGAGUGGUGCAGUGGUCUAAGACACUGCAUCUCAGUGCAAGAGUGCAGUUUGAAUCCAGGGUGCAUCACAUCUGGCCGUGAUAGGGCGGCGCACAAUUAGCCCAGUGUCGUCCGAGGUAGGCUGUCAUUGUAAAUAAGAAUUUGUUCUUAACUGACUUGCCUAGUUAAUUAUUUUUUAUUUUAUUUGGUCUUUAUGUUGGUUA